rnacentral:tRNA from 1 species
GGGGUUGUGGCUUAGUGGUAGAGCGCUUGCCUAGCACGAUAUGUGAGGCCCUGGGUUCAAUCCUCAGCACCCCA